CGAUUUCAUUCUUCACCACCUCGACAACGAGCAGACGCUUCGUCACUGCUACAGGAAGUUGGAACCAUUUUAUUGCCCUGAACACGCUUUCGCUAUCCAAGCCAAACUCGAGGCCGCCGCAAAUCUUAUUAUCAGGCGUACCGGCUUUUACAACAUCAGGGAUAUGCGGAAAUCGGAGAUCGAGGCGGCCGACCUGCUGGGGACCGUGGUGGCGGAGCUUCUCCGCCGUCCCGGCGGAGCCUAAAUCGUGGCAGAUCCUUAAUUUAUAGGGCCCGCGCCCGAUCGUUUACGACGCGCCGCGGGUCCGUGUCGCUAAGUUAUAUUCGUGGUUCUUCGCGGCGGCGGCGGCACAAGCCGGAGACGUCGCGCCACCUCCCUGCCCCGCCCGACCAUCAAGAUUGCGCGUGGCAUCAAAUGUUCUGUGCAGCAAAACUGGUGCAAGAAGCUUGGCUGAUGGUGGAAUCUUCCUAGAAAAGUAUUGCAUUUCGUGCACACUCAAUCAGGCUGAGCGUUCCAUUACAUUCUCAACCACCUCAAGGACUAGGGGUCCAGAUAUUGUUAACAAGGCUAGGGAUCUUCUUGAGCUUUUAACAUUGACUGCGGUUCCACCAUUUAAGGCCAUACAAAUACGGGAUGGUCUGCCAUAUGACAUCAUCCAGACCAAGUAUCACAAUGGUGGGUUUCGCUCAAGACUACCACUUGAGGAGCAGGUGUUCUGAUACCUGGUUAUGCCAUGAAGAGUCAAACCAGAAGCUGCUUUAUGAUUAUUGCUGGAUAUCUGAAAAAGCUCACUUUUCCGGCUGUUCUAAUCUUUCUAAUAUUGUCGGCAGGAGAAAUAAUUUAUCUUGGACGGCUGAGAAGAAUUGAACAGUCCUUACACUCCUACUAUCAGCACACACAUCAGGCAAGGUCUGGAGUUACACAAGUCUCUGUUUCUGAGGAGUGAAAAGGGGAGAACCGAAGUGAAGAACUGAAUAUGCUGCUGCAAAUGUCUCACGAGGACCUACAACUUUUCAGUUUUUAUAUUUUUAAUUUUCAAUUGAACCUGGUUUGUAAUUUGGAAUUUGAACUGCUGUUGGAUGUGUGCCGGUUAUGUUUCUGCGUUAAACUUUGAACUGUGAUGGGAUGAACUUGGUUAUUUACAACUUUGAA